GACAGAAAGUGCAAACGUUGUUCGGAAUUACUGAGCGUAAAGCGCGUGUAAACGGCCCUGCAAGUCGGAUGUGAAAUCCCACGGCUCAACCAUGGAAGUGCAUUCGAAACUGCAGAGCUAGAGUCCUGGAGAGGAAGGUGGAAUGCUUGGUGUAGAGGUGAAAUUCGUAGAUAUCAAGUAGAACACCGGUGGCGAAGGCGGCCUUCUGGACAGUGGCUGACGCUGAGACGCGAAAGCGUGGGGAGCAAACAGG
rnacentral:rRNA from 1 species